GAUUCAUGAUGAAGAGAAAUUUGAUCCCGCUGAGUUCAAGGACUCAGAUUCUGAGUUACCAGUGCCGAGUCUGGUAAACCCACUUCCUGCUAGGGUUAUGCCUUCCCCAAUGUUGAGCAGAAAGCAGCUUCCUCCUUUACUGGAAAAUGCAAGAAGGUAUGGAGAAGCUAAGGGUAUUAUAGUAAAUACGUUCUUGGAGCUAGAAUCCCAUGCGAUUGAGUCUUUCAAAAUACCUCCUAUUUAUCCUGUAGGACCCAUUUUGGAUGUAAGGUCGGAUGGAAGAAGCAAUCACCAAGAAAUCAUGCAAUGGCUUGAUGAUCAGCCUCCUUCAUCUGUGUUGUUCUUUCUUGUGCUUUGGGAGCAACGAAGGUUUGAUGAGGAUCAAGUGAAAGAGAUUGCCUAUGCGCUAGAGCGCAGUAGGUAUCGAUUCUUAUGGUCCCUGCGACGACCAUCACCUCCGGGUCUCUUACCAUCUCCAAGUGACUAUGAGGAUCCACAGGAGGUCUUGCCUGAAGGAUUCUUAAAUCGAAUGACUGGAAUUGGAAAGGUGAUAGGAUGGGCUCCACAAGUGACUAUCUUGGCCCAUCCAGCCGUAGGAGGAUUUGUUUCACAUUGUG
rnacentral:misc_RNA from 1 species